rnacentral:rRNA from 1 species
UUGUAUCACGCUGGCGGCGUGCUUACACAUGCAAGUCGAACGGUGAAGCAGAGCUUGCUCUGUGGAUCAGUGGCGAACGGGUGAGUAACACGUGAGCAAUCUGCCCCUGACUCUGGGAUAAGCGCUGGAAACGGCGUCUAAUACCGGAUACGAGCUGCGACCGCAUGGUCAGUAGCUGGAAAGAAUUUCGGUCAGGGAUGAGCUCGCGGCCUAUCAGCUUGUUGGUGAGGUAAUGGCUCACCAAGGCGUCGACGGGUAGCCGGCCUGAGAGGGUGACCGGCCACACUGGGACUGAGACACGGCCCAGACUCCUACGGGAGGCAGCAGUGGGGAAUAUUGCACAAUGGGCGAAAGCCUGAUGCAGCAACGCCGCGUGAGGGAUGACGGCCUUCGGGUUGUAAACCUCUUUUAGCAGGGAAGAAGCGAAAGUGACGGUACCUGCAGAAAAAGCGCCGGCUAACUACGUGCCAGCAGCCGCGGUAAUACGUAGGGCGCAAGCGUUAUCCGGAAUUAUUGGGCGUAAAGAGCUCGUAGGCGGUCUGUCGCGUCUGCUGUGAAAACCCGAGGCUCAACCUCGGGCCUGCAGUGGGUACGGGCAGACUAGAGUGCGGUAGGGGAGAUUGGAAUUCCUGGUGUAGCGGUGGAAUGCGCAGAUAUCAGGAGGAACACCGAUGGCGAAGGCAGAUCUCUGGGCCGUAACUGACGCUGAGGAGCGAAAGGGUGGGGAGCAAACAGGCUUAGAUACCCUGGUAGUCCACCCCGUAAACGUUGGGAACUAGUUGUGGGGUCCAUUCCACGGAUUCCGUGACGCAGCUAACGCAUUAAGUUCCCCGCCUGGGGAGUACGGCCGCAAGGCUAAAACUCAAAGGAAUUGACGGGGACCCGCACAAGCGGCGGAGCAUGCGGAUUAAUUCGAUGCAACGCGAAGAACCUUACCAAGGCUUGACAUAUAGAGGAAACGUCUGGAAACAGUCGCCCCGCAAGGUCUCUAUACAGGUGGUGCAUGGUUGUCGUCAGCUCGUGUCGUGAGAUGUUGGGUUAAGUCCCGCAACGAGCGCAACCCUCGUUCUAUGUUGCCAGCACGUAAUGGUGGGAACUCAUGGGAUACUGCCGGGGUCAACUCGGAGGAAGGUGGGGAUGACGUCAAAUCAUCAUGCCCCUUAUGUCUUGGGCUUCACGCAUGCUACAAUGGCCGGUACAAAGGGCUGCAAUACCGUGAGGUGGAGCGAAUCCCAAAAAGCCGGUCCCAGUUCGGAUUGAGGUCUGCAACUCGACCUCAUGAAGUCGGAGUCGCUAGUAAUCGCAGAUCAGCAACGCUGCGGUGAAUACGUUCCCGGGUCUUGUACACACCGCCCGUCAAGUCAUGAAAGUCGGUAACACCUGAAGCCGGUGGCCCAACCCUUGUGGAGGGAGCCGUCGAAGGUGGGAUCGGUAAUUAGAGCUC